rnacentral:lncRNA from 1 species
CACCUCCUUACAACUUCCAGAGAGAAAAUACAAAACAAGAAACAGACUUGGUUUCAAAUGCAUAACCAGGUGCUGGAGUUUAAAGCAUUACUGAUAACAUUGUUACAGAAGAAUGGCAGCUUACUCCAGGGCACUUCAGUAUUCCUGAGGAAUAAACAUGAUUUCUCUUGUCCUCCCGCUGGGAUGUUCUCAGGUGAAGUCACUGCUCCUGCUCUUUGACAUAUUUUCCAUGUAGAAG